UUAACUUAAUGGGUAUUAGGUGUCUUAGGACAUAACAGGGAAGAAAGUAAAAGCUUUCGCUGCCCCAGCAACCGUAAAACGGACAAAUCACAUAAGCCACUGCGACUAAGCGGGAAGGCGUGAGGCGGAUGAUGUCUUAGCCGGUAGACCUACCUUUUAUCUACUUUUGUA
rnacentral:ncRNA from 1 species